rnacentral:rRNA from 1 species
CCUACGGGAGGCAGCAGUGAGGAAUAUUGGUCAAUGGGCGGAAGCCUGAACCAGCCAAGUAGCGUGCAGGAUGACGGCACUAAGGGUUGUAAACCGCUUUUGUAAGGGAACAACGCGCCUUACGUGUAGGGCUUUGCAUGUACCGUAUGAAAAAGCACCGGCUAAUUCCGUGCCAGCAGCCGCGGUAAUACGGAAGGUCCGGGCGUUAUCCGGAUUUAUUGGGUUUAAAGGGAGCGGAGGCCGCCUGUUAAGGGAGCUGUGAAAUGUCCGGGCUCAACCCGGGCCGUGCAGCGCGAACUGGCGGGCUUGAGUCCGCGGAAAGCAGGCGGAAUUCGUCGUGUAGCGGUGAAAUGCUUAGAUAUGACGAAGAACCCCGAUUGCGAAGGCAGCUUGCUGCAUCGGAACUGACGCUGAUGCUCGAAAGCGCGGGUAUCGAACAGGAUUAGAUACCCGGGUAGUC